rnacentral:rRNA from 1 species
CCUACGGGCGGCUGCAGUGGGGAAUAUUGGGCAAUGGGCGCAAGCCUGACCCAGCAACGCCGCGUGAAGGAAGAAGGCUUUCGGGUUGUAAACUUCUUUUCUCAGGGACGAAGCAAGUGACGGUACCUGAGGAAUAAGCCACGGCUCACUACGUGCCAGCAGCCGCGGUAAUACGUAGGUGGCAAGCGUUAUCCGGAUUUACUUGGUGUAAAGGGCGUGUAGGCGGGGACGCAAGUCAGAUGUGAAAACCACGGGCUCAACCUGUGGCCUGCCUUGGAAACUGUGUUUCUUGAGUACUGGAGAGGCAGACGGCAUUCCUCGUGUAGCGGUGACAUGCGUAGAUAUUAGGCGGAACACCAGUGGCGAAGGCGGUCUGCUGGCCAGCCACUGACGCUGAGGCGCGCAAGCGUGGGGAGCAAACAGGAUUAGAUACCCGAGUAGUC